UCCCUACGGAGGCAGCAGUGGGGGAUAUUGCACAAUGGGGGGAACCCUGAUGCAGCGACGCCGCGUGGGUGAAGGGGCGUUUCGGCGCGUAAAGCCCUAUCGGCAGGGGAGAAGGAGGACGGUACCUGACUAAGAAGCCCCGGCUAACUACAUGCCAGCAGCCGCGGUAAUACGUAGGGGGCAAGCGUUAUCCGGAUUUACUGGGUGUAAAGGGGGCGCAGACGGCAGCGCAAGCCAGGAGUGAAAGCCCGGGGCCCAACCCCGGGACUGCUCUUGGCACUGCGCGGC
rnacentral:rRNA from 1 species